CACCGCGGUUAUACGAAAGACCCAAGCUGAUAGAUGCCGGCGUAAAGAGUGGUUAAGUAUCUUGAUAGAACUAAAGCCGAACGCCCUCAAGACCGUUAUACGUUUCCGAAGGUAUGAAGACCAACUACGAAAGUAACUUUAACUAUAUCCGACUCCACGAAAGCUGUGAAA
rnacentral:rRNA from 1 species